rnacentral:rRNA from 1 species
CAUCGACGUAGUGCCCCCGCCCUCGUCUUCAAGCUCGACUUCGCCAAGGCGUUCGACUCGGUCGAUUGGGGGGCGCUCCGGCGCAUUCUCGAGGUGCGCGGCUUCCCCGUCAGAUGGUGCGCCUGUAUGGACUUGAUCUUUCGGUCCUCCCGGUCGGCGGUUCUCCUCAACGGGGUGCCAGGGAGGUGUUUUACGGUGCGCCGCGGGCUGCGCCAGGGGGACCCGAGCUCGCCCUACCUCUUCCUCAUUGUCGCUGACGUCCUGCAACAGAUGAUC